UGGGGAAUUUUGGACAAUGGGCGCAAGCCUGAUCCAGCAAUGCCGCGUGCAGGAUGAAGGCCUUCGGGUUGUAAACUGCUUUUGUCGGAACGAAAAAGGCUCUGGUUAAUACCUGGAGCAUAUGACGGUACCGUAAGAAUAAGCACCGGCUAACUACGUGCCAGCAGCCGCGGUAAUACGUAGGGUGCGAGCGUUAAUCGGAAUUACUGGGCGUAAAGCGUGCGCAGGCGGUUUUGUAAGACAGAGGUGAAAUCCCCGGGCUCAACCUGGGAACUGCCUUUGUGANUGCAAGGCUGGAGUGCGGCAGAGGGGGAUGGAAUUCCGCGUGUAGCAGUGAAAUGCGUAGAUAUGCGGAGGAACACCGAUGGCGAAGGCAAUCCCCUGGGCCUGCACUGACGCUCAUGCACGAAAGCGUGGGGAGCAAACAGGAUUAGAUACCCCUGGUAGUCCACGCCCUAAA
rnacentral:rRNA from 1 species